UACAGAGACUGCAAGCGUUAUUCGGAUUCACUGGGCGUAAAGGGUGCGCAGGCGGCCAAGUGUGUCAGGUGUGAAAUCCCGAGGCUUAACCUCGGAACUGCGCCUGAAACUACUUGGCUAGAGUACUGGAGAGGGUAACGGAAUUCACGGUGUAGCAGUGAAAUGCGUAGAUAUCAUGAGGAACACCAGAGGCGAAGGCGGCUGCCUGGGCCAGUUCUGACGCUGAGGCGCGAAAGCGUGGGGAGCAAACAGG
rnacentral:rRNA from 1 species